rnacentral:rRNA from 1 species
GCACGAGAAAGUGGAGCAAUCCAUGAGUACAGUGGCGUACGGGUGAGUAACACGUGGAUCAUCUACCUCUUAGUGGGGAAUAACCCUGGGAAACCGGGGCUAAUACCGCAUAAGCUCGAGAGAGGAAAGCAGCAAUGCGCUGAGAGAGGAGUCCGCGGCCGAUUAGCUAGUUGGCAGGGUAAACGCCUACCAAGGCAAAGAUCGGUAGCCGGCCUGAGAGGGCACACGGCCACACUGGCACUGAAACACGGGCCAGACUCCUACGGGAGGCAGCAGUGGGGAAUCUUGCACAAUGGGGGAAACCCUGAUGCAGCGACGCCGCGUGAGCGAUGAAGCCCUUCGGGGUGUAAAGCUCUUUCGGCAGGGACGAUCAUGACGGUACCUGCAGAAGCAGCUGCGGCUAACUACGUG